GGAGGAGUAGCGAAGUGGCUAAACGCGACGGACUGUAAAUCCGUUCCUUAGGGUUCAGUGGUUCGAAUCCACUCUCCUCCACCA
rnacentral:tRNA from 80 species